UACGGAGGGUGCAAGCGUUAUCCGGAUUUACUGGGUUUAAAGGGUGUGUAGGCGGGCUUUUAAGUCAGCGGUGAAAUCUCCGGGCUCAACCCGGAAACUGCCAUUGAUACUAUUAGUCUUGAAUUUUGUUGAGGUAGGCGGAAUAAGUCAUGUAGCGGUGAAAUGCAUAGAUAUGACUUAGAACACCAAUUGCGAAGGCAGCUUGCUAAACAAAUAUUGACGCUGAGGCACGAAAGCGUGGGGGUCAAACAGG
rnacentral:rRNA from 1 species